rnacentral:rRNA from 1 species
CCUACGGGAGGCAGCAGUGAGGAAUAUUGGUCAAUGGCCGGAAGGCUGAACCAGCCAUGCCGCGUGAAGGGCAGGGGCCUAAGGGCGUUAAACUUCUUUUGUGCGGGAGCAAUAAUGGUCACGUGUGGCCAGACGAGAGUACCGUACGAAUAAGCAUCGGCUAACUCCGUGCCAGCAGCCGCGGUAAUACGGGGGAUGCAAGCGGUAUCCGGAUUUAUUGGGUUUAAAGGGUGAGUAGGCUGGGAGGUAAGGCAGCGGGGAAAUGCCCCCGCUCAACGGGGUGAAGUGCCAUUGAUACUGCCUUGCUGGACUGCGGAUGCCGUGGGAGGAAUGUGUGGUGUAGCGGUGAAAUGCAUAGAUAUCACACAGAACACCGAUUGCGAAGGCAUCUCACGAAUCCGCGAUUGACGCUGAUGCACGAAAGCGUGGGUAUCAAACAGGAUUAGAUACCCGAGUAGUC